GAGUUUGAUCAUGGCUCAGGAUGAACGCUGGCGGCGUGCCUAAUACAUGCAAGUCGAGCGAACGGACGAGAAGCUUGCUUCUCUGAUGUUAGCGGCGGACGGGUGAGUAACACGUGGAUAACCUACCUAUAAGACUGGGAUAACUUCGGGAAACCGGAGCUAAUACCGGAUAAUAUUUUGAACCGCAUGGUUCAAAAGUGAAAGACGGUCUUGCUGUCACUUAUAGAUGGAUCCGCGCUGCAUUAGCUAGUUGGUAAGGUAACGGCUUACCAAGGCAACGAUGCAUAGCCGACCUCGAGAGGGUGAUCGGCCACACUGGAACUGAGACACGGUCCAGACUCCUACGGGAGGCAGCAGUAGGGAAUCUUCCGCAAUGGGCGAAAGCCUGACGGAGCAACGCCGCGUGAGUGAUGAAGGUCUUCGGAUCGUAAAACUCUGUUAUUAGGGAGAACAUAUGUGUAAGUAACUGUGCACAUCUUGACGGUACCUAAUCAGAAAG
rnacentral:rRNA from 1 species